rnacentral:rRNA from 1 species
AGAGUUUGAUCCUGGCUCAGGACGAACGCUGGCGGCGUGGAUAAGGCAUGCAAGUCGAACGGGAACUUAACGACUAAUUCGUUAGGAGUUUUGUUCUAGUGGCGAACGGGUGAGUAACGCGUGAACAACAUACCUCUCAGAGGGGAAUAACACAGGGAAACUUGUGCUAAUACCGCAUAUGUGCUUGUGAUGAUUUCACAUUCAUGAAAGGUGGGGACCUUCGGGCCUGCCGCUGAGAAAUUGGUUCGCGUCCCAUUAGCUUGUUGGUGAGGUAACGGCUCACCAAGGCUGCGAUGGGUACCGGCCUGAGAGGGCGACCGGCCACACUGGGAUUGAGAUACGGCCCAGACUCCUUCGGGAGGCAGCAGUCGAGAAUCUUCCACAAUGGACGAAAGUCUGAUGGAGCGACGCCGCGUGAGGGAUUAAGGCUUUCUGAGUCGUAAACCUCUGUCAGGAGAGAAGAAAAGCAUUGUAAUGAAUAGUUACGAUGUCUGACGUUAUCUCCAGAGGAAGCUCCGGCUAACUCCGUGCCAGCAGCCGCGGUAAUACGGGGGGAGCAAGCGUUGUCCGGAAUUAUUGGGCGUAAAGGGCGUGUAGGUGGUUUUGUAAGUCGAAUGUGGAAUCUUACGGCUCAACCGUGAAAUUGCGUUCGAAACUACAUGACUUGAGUUAGGGAGAGGUGUACGGAAUUCCUGGUGUAGCGGUGGAAUGCGUAGAUAUCAGGAAGAACACCGAUGGCGAAGGCAGUACACUGGCCUGUAACUGACACUGAGGCGCGAAAGCGUGGGGAGCAAACAGGAUUAGAUACCCUGGUAGUC